AAUUGGAAACAUUGGUUAUAUUACUGAGACUUUCACUGCGAUGUCAUAUUUGAGAAUAAAAUACAUCAAUUCAGAUAUGAUCAAACAGCUUUAAGGAACUAAUGCUGACUUUAUAGAGCCAAUAAUGGCCCUUGGAAAAAAUGGCCUGGUACCCUGCUUAUGGGGUUUCCAGCAAUUUUACCAGCCAGGUGAACAAGCUAGAGCUGGACAACUUGAUAAAACUUCAAAGAAAUCACCACAAUAGCUCAUGUAUGGACAACCUUAAUGCCUCCGUGUCACAGAAGGAUCACCAGAGACAUUCAAACUGCCAACCAGAAAAAUCUAGCAGGUUGCUGCUGCCCUUCCUUACUCCGUCUGAAGAGGUUAGGAGCCAGAUAUCUAGAAAUCUCAACAGGCUGCCUUUAGAACUCAGAAACUGGGAGUGUAAUCUUCUCCAGUCAUUAACUGUUGUUUUUCUUUUGUUUCCAUAGAAAUGCUUCUUAUUAAAUAUCUAAUUGCUUGCACCAUGGAACUAA